CAGAGUUCGUGCCCUCACGGGUAGAUCUCCCACCCUGUGUUAUUAUACCUUUGUUGCUUUGGCGGGCCGCCCUCGGCUACCGGCUUCGGCUGGUGAGUGCCCGCCAGAGGACCCCAAACUCUGAAUGUUAGUGUCGUCUGAGUACUAUACAAUAGUUA
rnacentral:misc_RNA from 1 species